AUAGUUCACUAUAUGAUCCUAAAAAUCUUUUAUUGCUAUAGUUCAUUCUAAGGAUUCUUGUGUUGAUCAUCAUGGAUGAUACUACAAAAAAAGGAAAGUUGGAUAGAAUUGUCCUUUUGGAGACUGAAGUUACACAGAUAACCAACAAAACUUUUCGCAGAUCAAAGACCUUCAAAGACAUCAGAAAUAAUAUCCUUAAAAAGUGAAUUAGGUUUGCUUCCUCCAGCUUUUCCCAGAAAAAGGAAAUUUUCCUGGAAGUAAACUUUUUAUUGCUUAU